GCUCCCUUCGGCAGCGCAUAUACUAAAAUUGGAAUGAUACAGAGAAGAUUAGCAUGGCCCAUGUGCAAGGAUGACACACAAAUUCGUGAAGCAUUCCAUAUUUUU
rnacentral:snRNA from 1 species